rnacentral:tRNA from 1 species
GAUAUAAGUUAUUGAAAAGAUUGACUUUUAAUCAGUAGGUCGCUGGUUCGAACCCAGCAGGGCUCACCA